UACGAGUGCCUCAAGCGUUAUCCGGAAUCAUUGGGCGUAAAGGGUGUGUAGGUGGCGAUGUUAGUCUUCUGUCAAAUUCUUCGGCUUAACCGGGGGUCUGCAGGGGAAACGGCAUUGCUCGAGGAUGCGAGGGGUGAAUGGAACUCAUGGAGUAGGGGUGAAAUCCGUUGAUAUCAUGGGGAACACCAAAAGCGAAGGCAAUUCACUGGCGCAUUCCUGACACUGAAACACGAAAGCGUGGGUAGCGAACGGG
rnacentral:rRNA from 1 species